rnacentral:tRNA from 2 species
CAGAAUGUAGCUUAUAUAAAGCUAAUUAUUUACAUUAAUAAGAAAAUUAAUAAUUUUUUCUGA